rnacentral:lncRNA from 1 species
GAACAAUCCUGCUUCCCAGGCUCCAGGAAUUUGCUCCUUUCCUCUACCCCAUCCUGCUCCCUUGGGGCCUUGAUCACUUUUCCUACCCUGACCUGCAGAUAGCCUUGUGGCUAAUGACUUUGUGUGCUAAUCCUCCCCCAGGUGUGUCCCAGAGGGCACCUGGAGAGCGGUAGUGGGGUCUCAGUGGUAGGGGGAGCACUUUCCUACAUCACAAUGCCCAGGUGCUUUUGAGCACUUAAUCUGCCAGCUUGUCAGGCAGGUCUGUGGUCUCAGGUGCUGACUGACUGGCCAAAGAGUUAUGGGGAGGGGCAGCUAAACCCCUGUGGCCACAGUCAACCCCUUCAGAGCACAGGGGCUCUUCUUGGGACCUCUGAAGCCUGGACAAGAGGAGAGAAGCAGAGAAACCUGGGGGCACCAUUAUGAUGCGCCACGCAGUGGAGUUGCGUGGGUGGGAGAAGCACACGGCUCUGGGUCUUCAGAACUGGCCCCCAAGAUGAUGAAACAGGCGUGGAGAGGAUGAGUAACUUUCCCAAGGGCUGAACUAGCAUCUUAAUGCCUCACAUUUAAAAGCAUGGAACGUGAGCUUUGGAUCUGGCUCCCAGUUCAAGUGUUCUGACCAUCACUCUAGAUGCCUGGGCUCCCUGCUCACCCAGACCUUCCUGAGGAGUGACACCCCUCCUGCCUGCUGACCUCCAGGUUGUCUCCUCCUCCUAGGUCCUGGCUCCCUGGCUCUCCUUGCACACAGGUGGCUCUUCCUAACCCUCUAUCAUCAAAUGUCCUGCGUGAUUUGGGGCAUGUGGCAGAGAUUGCUGACAGAUCACCAAACCCAUUGCAUCUCCUUUCUGGGCACACAGCGAGGCUUCAUUUUCUAGCAUCACUUGCAGUUUAGUUGUGUCCUUGGGAAUGAAUUCUGGCCAAUGGCACGUGAGGUGGUAUGCGCCACUUCCAGGCCUCACCAUAAAGAUGUCCCAGGUAGAAGCCUCCGUGUCAGCAAAUUUUGAUUCACGUUGCAGAGAUUAGAUUUGAAGCUCAGAAAGACCUUGCUUGAUUGGACAAAGAGGCGCAGUGCACUGCCGGCAGAGGCCUUCCUCUGUGCUGUCUCUAGCAACUUUCUGUUGCCCCGCCCUGGGCUGAGAACAGGCGGAAGUCUCCAUGGACUGUGUCUGUGGGUCUGGGGUCCUUCUGCUUCUACUGCUCUCUGCUCCCUCCUGGGAGGUGUCUUCAGCGAGGCACGUGCUCCAGCUGAAGCCAUCUCAGUCUAAACCGAGUUAGAAGGAGUGUCAUACUAGCUGAAGAGGCUGAGUCAAGUGUUCAUCAAGCCGUAAAUGAACA